rnacentral:ncRNA from 1 species
UUUAUGGAGAGUUUGAUCCUGGCUCAGGAUGAACGCUGGCGGCGUGCCUAAUACAUGCAAGUCGAGCGAACUGACGAGGAGCUUGCUCCUUUGACGUUAGCGGCGGACGGGUGAGUAACACGUGGGUAACCUACCUAUAAGACUGGAAUAACUCCGGGAAACCGGGGCUAAUGCCGGAUAACAUAUCGAACCGCAUGGUUCGAUAGUGAAAGACGGUCUUGCUGUCACUUAUAGAUGGACCCGCGCCGUAUUAGCUAGUUGGUGAGGUAACGGCUCACCAAGGCAACGAUACGUAGCCGACCUGAGAGGGUGAUCGGCCACACUGGAACUGAGACACGGUCCAGACUCCUACGGGAGGCAGCAGUAGGGAAUCUUCCGCAAUGGGCGAAAGCCUGACGGAGCAACGCCGCGUGAGUGAUGAAGGU